rnacentral:rRNA from 1 species
CAACGCCGCGUGCAGGAUGAAGGCCCUCGGGUCGUAAACUGCUUUUAUCUGUGACGAUUAUGACGGUAGCAGAUGAAUAAGGAUCGGCUAACUCCGUGCCAGCAGCCGCGGUCAUACGGAGGAUCCAAGCGUUAUCCGGAAUUACUGGGCGUAAAGAGUUGCGUAGGCGGCAUGGUAAGUAGAUGGUGAAAUCCUGGGGCUCAACCCUUUAAACAUUAUCUAAACUGCCAAGCUAGAACAUGAGAGAGGUAGCUGGAAUUACUAGUGUAGGAGUGAAAUCCGUAGAUAUUAGUAGGAACACCGAUGGCGUAGGCAGGCUACUGGCUCAUUGUUGACGCUCAGGCACGAAAGCGUGGGGAGCGACCGGGAUUAGAUACCCCGUUAGUCCACGCCGUAAACGAUGGAUGCUAGCUGUUAUGAGUAUCGACCCUCGUAGUAGCGAAGCUAACGCGUUAAGCAUCCCGCCUGUGGAGUACGAGCGCAAGCUUA